UAAGGGCGUUGAAGCAUGAUCGUAAGGACAUGUGGAGCGCUUAGAAGUGAGAAUGCCGGUGUGAGUAGCGAAAGACGGGUGAGAAUCCCGUCCACCGAUUGACUAAGGUUUCCAGAGGAAGGCUCGUCCGCUCUGGGUUAGUCGGGUCCUAAGCUGAGGCCGACAGGCGUAGGCGAUGGAUAACAGGUUGAUAUUCCUGUACCACCUAUAAUCGUUUUAAUCGAUGGGGGGACGCAGUAGGAUAGGCGAAGCGUGCGAUUGGAUUGCACGUCUAAGCAGUAAGGCUGAGUAUUAGGCAAAUCCGGUACUCGUUAAGGCUGAGCUGUGAUGGGGAGAAGACAUUGUGUCUUCGAGUCGUUGAUUUCACACUGCCGAGAAAAGCCUCUAGAUAGAAAAUAGGUGCCCGUACCGCAAACCGACACAGGUAGUCAAGAUGAGAAUUCUAAGGUGAGCGAGCGAACUCUCGUUAAGGAACUCGGCAAAAUGACCCCGUAACUUCGGGAGAAGGGGUGCUCUUUAGGGUUAACGCCCAGAAGAGCCGCAGUGAAUAGGCCCAAGCGACUGUUUAUCAAAAACACAGGUCUCUGCUAAACCGUAAGGUGAUGUAUAGGGGCUGACGCCUGCCCGGUGCUGGAAGGUUAAGAGGAGUGGUUAGCUUCUGCGAAGCUACGAAUCGAAGCCCCAGUAAACGGCGGCCGUAACUAUAACGGUCCUAAGGUAGCGAAAUUCCUUGUCGGGUAAGUUCCGACCCGCACGAAAGGCGUAACGAUUUGGGCACUGUCUCAACGAGAGACUCGGUGAAAUCAUAGUACCUGUGAAGAUGCAGGUUACCCGCGACAGGACGGAAAGACCCCGUGGAGCUUUACUGUAGCCUGAUAUUGAAAUUCGGCACAGCUUGUACAGGAUAGGUAGGAGCCUUUGAAACGUGAGCGCUAGCUUACGUGGAGGCGCUGGUGGGAUACUACCCUAGCUGUGUUGGCUUUCUAACCCGCACCACUUAUCGUGGUGGGAGACAGUGUCAGGCGGGCAGUUUGACUGGGGCGGUCGCCUCCUAAAAGG
rnacentral:rRNA from 1 species